rnacentral:rRNA from 1 species
CCUACGGGGGGCAGCAGUGAGGAAUAUUGGUCAAUGGCCGUAAGGCUGAACCAGCCAAGCCGCGUGAAGGAAGAAGGUGCUAUGGUUUGUAAACUUCUUUUAUAGGGGAAUAAAGGUAUCCACGUGUGGAUAUUUGCAUGUACCUUAUGAAUAAGCAUCGGCUAACUCCGUGCCAGCAGCCGCGGUAAUACGGAGGAUGCGAGCGUUAUCCGGAUUUAUUGGGUUUAAAGGGUGCGUAGGUUGUUUUUUAAGUCAGCGGUGAAAGUUUGUGGCUCAACCAUAGAAUUGCCGUUGAAACUGGAGGACUUGAGUGUGUUUGAGGUAGGCGGAAUGCGUAGUGUAGCGGUGAAAUGCAUAGAUAUCACGCAGAACUCCGAUUGCGAAGGCAGCAUACGA